rnacentral:rRNA from 1 species
GACGAACGCUGGCGGCGUGCUUAACACAUGCAAGUCGAACGGAAAGGCCCCUUUGGGGGUCCUCGAGUGGCGAACGGGUGAGUAACACGUGAGUAACCUGCCCUUGACUUCGGGAUAACUUCAGGAAACUGGGGCUAAUACCGGAUAGGAAUCCUUGCUGCAUGGUGGGGGUUGGAAAGCUUCGGCGGUUUUGGAUGGACUCGCGGCUUAUCAGCUUGUUGGUGGGGUAGUGGCUUACCAAGGCUUUGACGGGUAGCCGGCCUGAGAGGGCGACCGGCCACAUUGGGACUGAGAUACGGCCCAGACUCCUACGGGAGGCAGCAGUGGGGAAGAUUGCACAAUGGGCGGAAGCCUGAUGCAGCAACGCCGCGGGCGGGAUGACGGCCUUCGGGUUGGAAACCGCUUUCAGCAGGGGCGAAGCUUGUGGUGACGGUACCUGCAGAAGAAGCACCGGCUAACUACGUG